ACACUCCUACGGGAGGCAGCAGUGGGGAAUUUUGGACAAUGGGCGAAAGCCUGAUCCAGCAAUGCCGCGUGAGUGAAGAAGGCCUUCGGGUUGUAAAGCUCUUUUGUCAGGGAAGAAACGGUGAGAGCUAAUAUCUUUUGCUAAUGACGGUACCUGAAGAAUAAGCACCGGCUAACUACGUGCCAGCAGCCGCGGUAAUACGUAGGGUGCAAGCGUUAAUCGGAAUUACUGGGCGUAAAGCGUGCGCAGGCGGUUUUGUAAGUCUGAUGUGAAAUCCCCGGGCUCAACCUGGGAAUUGCAUUGGAGACUGCAAGGCUAGAAUCUGACAGAGGGGGGUAGAAUUCCACGUGUAGCAGUGAAAUGCGUAGAUAUGUGGAGGAACACCGAUGGCGAAGGCAGCCCCCUGGGUCAAGAUUGACGCUCAUGCACGAAAGCGUGGGGAGCAAACAGGAUUAGAAACCCCAGUAGUCCCAUGA
rnacentral:rRNA from 1 species